rnacentral:lncRNA from 1 species
GGGUGGUGAGGCACUGGAACAGACUCCCCAGAAAUGUGGUUGUUGCCCCAUCCCUGGAGACUUCCUAAGUGUGGCUGGACCAGGAUCUGAGCAACCUGAUCUAGCUGUGGUUGUCCCUGUUCACUGCAGGAGAGCUGGACUACAUAAACUGUAAAGGUCCCUUUCAAAUCUAAGAAUUCUAUGAUUCUAAAUGUCUGUUUCUCUUCACUGACCAUCAGGGGAAUCUAAACCACUAGACCAGAUGUCAACUCCUACUGUGUAAAUGCUUGCAGUUGCUUAGAUGCAUUUGACUUAGAUACUUUUCUGGGUAGAAUUUAUCGUUUCAUGGAUAACCUCCUAAAGUUGUCUUAGGUUAUAAGGUUCUGAACCAGAUAAUUGAAUAUGAAGGGUUUAUUACAUUGUUUGGAUGUUCAUACAUCUAUGGGAUAAGACAGGACUGAAGGAACUGGCAAGUGUGCUCAUCAAAUUAUUUUCAGUAGUUUACUAGAGUCUUGGACAACUGAGGAGGUCCUAGUUGAUGGGAAGUGAAUGUGUCUCUAAUCUACAAGAUGGGCAAGAGGAUCCAGAGAAUUAUAGGCCUUUCAUUUUGACCUUGGUACAAGUUGUAGUAUUCCAAAGACUCUGGAUACUAGAGGAAGAUUUUCUUCAUGGACUAGCUAUGGAUUAAUUGUGGAUCAAGUAUACUUAUUGGAUGAAGCUUGCACAAAGUUCAUAACAGCAAGAUUGUACGGCUUGGCCAUGAGAAGAUUGAGCUUAGAGGAAUGGGAAGUCUAAAGAAUGUCUGAAUAUCUCCUGGACUCCUGGAUACAGUGCUGAAAGACAAUGAAAACUCCAUUUGAAAAAUAUGUUACUUUCAAGAUUGGCAAGUUCACCAGUUUAAAAUACAAGAAAGGUGAUUUAUGAGAGCACUAGGAUUCAUGGGGGCACAAGAGCCUUUCUACUACUGACAGUGCAGAUAGCAUGAUUAUGUCUAUAUUUUAUUCUAUCUGUGCUAAGUCUCCCCAGCAUGCAUUAUGGAAGAUUUGUAAUUUACCUC